rnacentral:rRNA from 1 species
UACGUAGGGUGCAAGCGUUAAUCGGAAUUACUGGGCGUAAAGCGUGCGCAGGCGGUUUGUAAGUCUGUCGUGAAAGCCCCGGGCUCAACCUGGGAAUUGCGAUGGAGACUGCAAGGCUUGAAUCUGGCAGAGGGGGUAGAAUUCCACGUGUAGCAGGUGAAAUGCGUAGAGAUGAUGGAGGAACACCGAUGGCGAAGGCAGCCCCUGGGUCAAGAUUGACGCUCAUGCACGAAGCGUGGGGAGC